rnacentral:rRNA from 1 species
AUUGAACGCUGGCGGAAUGCUUUACACAUGCAAGUCGAACGGUAGAGGGGGCAACCCCUUGAGAGUGGCGAACGGGUGAGUAAUAUAUCGGAACGUGCCCAGUCGUGGGGAUAACGUAGCGAAAGUUACGCUAAUACCGCAUACGAUCUAAGGAUGAAAGCGGGGGACUCGCAAGAGCCUCGCGCGAUUGGAGCGGCCGAUAUCAGAUUAGGUAGUUGGUGGGGUAAAGGCUCACCAAGCCAACGAUCUGUAGCUGGUCUGAGAGGACGACCAGCCACACUGGAACUGAGACACGGUCCAGACUCCUACGGGAGGCAGCAGUGGGGGAAUUUUGGACAAUGGACGCAAGUCUGAUCCAGCCAUUCCGCGUGCAGGAUGAAGGCCCUCGGGUUGUAAACUGCUUUGUACGGAACGAAAAGGUUUCUAUUAAUACUAGGAGCUCAUGACGGUACCGUAAGAAUAAGCACCGGCUAACUACGUGCCAGCAGCCGCGGUAAAGUGACU